AUUGAACGCUAGCGGGAUGCUUUACACAUGCAAGUCGAACGAGUGGCGGACGGGUGAGUAAUAUAUCGGAACCUGCCCAGUAGCGGGGGAUAACUACUCGAAAGAGUGGCUAAUACCGCAUACGAUUGGAGCGGCCGCUAUCGGAUUAGCUAGGUGGUGGGGUGAAGGCUCACCAAGGCAACGAUCCGUAGCUGGUUUGAGAGGAUGACCAGCCCCACUGGGACGGGGCAACGGCCCAGACUCCUACGGGAUGCAAGAGUGGGGAAUUUUGGACAAUUGGGGGAACCCUGGUCCCACCAUCCCGGGUGUAAUGGGAGGCCUUCCGGGUGUAAAGGACUUUUGGCAGAGAAGCGGUUUCUGCAGAAUAAGCACCGGCUAACUACGUGCCAGCAGCCGCGGUAAUAC
rnacentral:rRNA from 1 species